UCCUCCUCUCCCGGGUUAUCUCAUUUUCGGCAACUUUAUCCAGAGAGAUUUACUCAACUUUCUCCGAGCUCUCCCUCUACUUAAAAGCGAGCGGCCCCGCCAAGGCUCGUGAGGAAAUCUGGUUUCAGAGUUUAAAGAAAGGCGAAGGUCAAAACAUGGUCGUCAGGGAAAAUGGGAUGGUUGCCAAAACUUCAGUGUGUGAUAGGUGCCAUAUUGCAUUAUUCUCCGAAUGGUGGAAUACAGUUUGGGAUUCUUCAGGGGUGGCUAACACAGUACAAACUGUACCAUACAGCUGCUGAAUGUCUUAACCAUUUGGAUUCAAACAUAAAUUAACUUCUGGAAGAAGUGGAGGAGCCUCUUGCCAAAAUUUGAGGAUAUUGUGUAAAAUGCUGCUGAGACCCAUUUGGAUUAUACUGCCAUCUGACAUCAAGGUUCUGCAGCUAAUGAAAGGAAUUCUCCAGAUCUAUUUGUUGUGUGGUUGCUGAAGCAUUAUCCUGGGACAGCAGUAAUGAUUGAUGAACACCCUUCAGGCUUGAGUCACAGAGCAACGUGAGGAUUUACACUUUUGAAGUAGGAAUGUGAAUGGGAUUGAAGGAUUUAUAUGGAGGAUUCUGUUCCUUCCUGCUCCAGGAAAGACAGGUAAUGUCUUUAUUCUCCCACGAGAUGGAGGCGGACCACUCUACCAGCUGUCAAGGCAAAUAUUGUUGUAUAGCCCUUGUGGUCAGCAGCAUCCUCAAUGUCUGGUGAUGGGGUGCCUUGGAAGGAUGGCACAGAACAAGCUUCAUACUACCUCAUACAAGCUCCAUACUCUCAGGCUCUCUGUGCUGCACAAGGCUAUACCGUUCAGAAGAAGCGAGAUUGUCUUUCCCUACAGCUACGACACUGCACUGAUCUCGACACAGCCUGCUUUUCCCUCCAUUUACCUGGGCGGCUGCUGCUGUUUUUGCUGCUGCUGAGGCUGCCACAGUCUCGCUGCCUGCGCUUCACCCUGGCUUGGCUGGCUCAAAACUCACUCGUCUGCACAUUGCUACGAAGAGCGAUGGAGCUGCAUUUUUUCUGUUGGUUCUGGAAGCAAAGAGUUGCAAUAUGUGAUGACUUUGGGAUUUUCUUUGGGGGGGAUGUGGAGGGAGGAGAAAGCAGGGGUGUUAUUCUAGGUUGGGGUGGGUGAAAGCUUAAAGAAAUAUUAUGUAAAGUAAUCCAGUGCUCGACAAGGGCAUCAGCAGCAAGAAUCCAGCCUCUGCUGCUCCAGAGGAUCAACAUGGGGAAGCCACAGUGCUGCAGUCGGGUUUCACCUCAGCGUUGUGCUGGAGAUGGAUAAAUAAGGUAUUGGUUGUGUCUGCCUGUUAAGGCAAAGCCAUGGGAGAAGGAGAGAGCGAACGAAUGCAAAUGCAAAGGAAGAAGAAAUGCUACAUGCCGUUUGUCUGAUUCUGGGCAUUCUUAUUGCAGAGAGGAUGGCUCGAUUAACAAAGCAAUGUAUGGAUGGCGGGGACUGUAAAUUGUAGCUUGAACACUCCUGAUGCUGUCAGGGAAGAAACUGAUGAGCUAGGUGGUUGCAGCGAUAUCCCCAGGGAAAACAGCAGCCAUGCACUUUGUGUGUAUAUAUAUGUAUGUAAGUGCUUUUGUGUGUGUGUGAGCAUGUACAGACAUGAAAGAAAGACAUUUCUGACCAAUUUACAGAGGAAGUUUGUCACUUCGCUAGGUCUGACUUGAUUGCAGCUCGCAUUUUCAGCUAUAGCUCUACACCCAUUUCCUGACUGAGGCGGCACUUUGUGAAAACAGAUGGUAGGCAGAAUUCUUUUAAGAAACGUGAAAGCAGAUCCUUUCCGCUUAACACCUUGAAGCACUGAAUCUUCUGCACUGUGCUGUGAGAAACUGGGGUUUCGUUUCUCCAUCUUAAAAUCUUUAUAAACACAGCUGUAUUCAGUAUGGUGAAAAAUUCUAUACUGUAAAUAGAAAUGUGAUCAAUCUAAUCAAAAUAAAUGCAUCCCAGAUGACUUCUAGACCAGCUGGCUAACACAGUCAUCAGAAGCCUGAAUGCUCAACUGAGCAUUUAUAUUCAGUGUUAUAUUUAUAUCUUCUUUUCCUUUUUAGAAUUUCAAAAUCAGCCUUUAAUUAAAAAAAAUUCUUCAUGUCUUGAGAAAAGGCAACGCUUGCAUUUGACAAUAGAUUUUUCUGAAAU